UACGUAGGGUGCGAGCGUUGUCCGGAAUUAUUGGGCGUAAAGAGCUUGUAGGUGGUUUGUCGCGUCGACUGUGAAAUCCCGAGGCUCAACUUCGGGCUUGCAGUCGAUACGGGCAGGCUAGAGUUCGGUAGGGGGAGACUGGAAUUCCUGGUGUAGCGGUGAAAUGCGCAGAUAUCAGGAGGAACACCGAUGGCGAAGGCAGGUCUCUGGGCCGAUACUGACGCUGAGGAGCGAAAGCGUGGGGAGCGAACAGG
rnacentral:rRNA from 1 species